UCUCUCCCUCCCUCCUCUUGGGGGAAACCAGAUGUUUUCUUUGUUCUCUGUGAGUCUGUGAGGAACAGGCUCAGGAAUGCAGGUGGAGUUGGCAAGAAGCCCUCCCUGCAUCCAGCAACUCAACACGAACUGCAAAUCCCAUCACUGUCUGUUCUGGAAAGUGUCCAGGCUUUGGAUUUUGACUUACUUCCAGGGAAACAGAGUUUUCUACAUGCUGUUGCUCUUCUAUUGGUACAGAAAUGAUAUAGUCAGGAGCCUGGAAGGUCAGCAGAUUUCUAGAUCAAAACUGAAGAAAUAGACUUUCAUUUUGUGCAGAAAAUAAGAUUGCAGGUUGGUUCAGGUGGAGGUGGUGCUUGAGGACUGAAGAGAGAAGAAAAUAACAUUUAUUUAGGUCCAGGAUAAAAUCCAACAGCAAUUCAUGGGUUGUUUACCCUAGAGGACCUCCUGUGGGAAUAAGGUCUGACUGAAGAAUCUCUCACCAUUCAGCACAUUAGUA